UGGGGUCGAGUUGCAGACCCCAAUCCGAACUGAGACCGGCUUUUUGGGAUUCGCUCCGCCUUACAGCAUCGCAGCCCUUUGUACCGGCCAUUGUAGCAUGCGUGAAGCCCUGGACAUAAGGGGCAUGAUGACUUGACGUCAUCCCCACCUUCCUCCGAGUUGACCCCGGCAGUCUCCUAUGAGUCCCCACCAUAACGUGCUGGCAACAUAGGACGAAGGUUGCGCUCGGUGCGGGACUUAACCCAACAUCUCACGACACGAGCUGACAACAGCCAUGUACCACCUGUACACCGACAAAAAGGGGCACCAUCUCUGGCGCUUUCCGGCGUAUGGCAAACCCAAGUAAGGGUCUUCGCGGUGCAUCGAAUUAAUCCGCAUGCU
rnacentral:rRNA from 1 species